rnacentral:rRNA from 1 species
UACAGAGGUCUCAAGCGUUUGUUCGGAUUCAUUGGGCGUAAAGGGUGCGUAGGCGGCGCGGUAAGUCGGGUGUGAAAUCUCGGGGCUUAACUCCGAAACUGCAUUCGAUACUGCCGUGCUUGAGGACUGGAGAGGAGACUGGAAUUUACGGUGUAGCGGUGAAAUGCGUAGAUAUCGUAAGGAAGACCAGUGGCGAAGGCGGCAUCCUGGACCAACACUGACGCUGAGGAGCGAAAGCCCAGGGGGAGCAAAACGGGGAUUAGAA